rnacentral:rRNA from 1 species
AUUGAACGCUGGCGGCAGGCUUAACACAUGCAAGUCGAACGAGUGGCGGACGGGUGAGUAAUUCUUGGGAAUCUGGCUGAUGGAUGGGGAUAACGAAGGGAAACUGUCGCUAAUACCGCCUACCAUAGGAUGAGCCCAAGUGGGAUUAGGUAGUUGGUGGGGUAAUGGCAUACAAAGCCGACGAUUCCUAGCUGGUCUGAGAGGAUGACCAGCCACACCGGGACUGAGACACGGCCCAGACUCCUACGGGAGGCAGCAGGGGGGAAUAUUGGGCAAUGGGGGCAACCUGACGCAGCCAUGCCGCGUGAAUGAAGAAGGCCUUCGGGUUGUAAAGUUCUUUCGGUGACGAGGCGUUAAUCACAGAAGAAGCACCGGCUAACUCCGUGCCAGCCGCCGCGGUAAUAC